UGGAAAUAGAAAACUCCAUGCCUCAGUGC
rnacentral:piRNA from 1 species